GCACCAGCGUCUCGUGAGAACUCAAAUCGGCUGAAUGUCCCAGGCUGAAGUGAGAAGAGGGAAGUUUCCACCCUGCCCCAUGGACAUCGCUUCUGAGUGGCCUCCCUCCUGCUCACAGACACCUCUGAGAUUUCCUGGCUGACACAUCGCAUCUCCCUGUGGCCACAGCCAAGCAACACCAGAUGUCUGCAGUAGCAGCAACACUUUGGAUUCCUGAUGGAAAACCCUAAGACGAGCCUCUGUGAAAUACCUGCUUCAUUUUGGCUUCAUUUUCAUGCCUUGUUAUCUGACCCAUUUACUUCUUACCUCAGGGCACAGACCACGGCUGUGACACUCUGUAAAACCCUGUGGGAUGGGGAAAAGUAAAAAUGACACACCCCGGCCAGGCACACGCCUGUAAUCCUAGCACUUUGGGAGGCCGAGGCGGGUGGAUCACCUGAGGUCAGGAGUGCGAGACAAGCCUGGCCAACAUGGUGAAACCCCGUCUCUACUAAAAAAUACAAAAAUUAGCCAGGUGUGGUAGUGGGCACCUGUAAUCCCAGCUACUCUGGAGGCUGAGACAGGAGAAUCGCUUGAACCUCGGGGACAGAGGUUGCAGUGAGCUGAGAUUGUGCCACUGCACUCCAGCCUGGCGAAAGAGUGAAACUCCAUCUUGGCGGGGGGGUGGCAGGGGGACGGAAGAAAAAAGACACAGACGUCUCAGGGCAUGGCUGCUUAGGAGGCUAUGAGGCUCUUGCCGCAAGCUUUUCCCCACUUUUCAUGGCUGCCCUCAGAGGAUAGAAUUGCCACAAUUUUAAGGAUAAAGAAACAGGCUUGGAGAGGCCAGAGGCUUGCGCAAUACCACACAAACAGGGGUGCCUUUGUGUUUCUGGGUCAAUGCUGUUUUUCACACAGACUGGACCUCGUGGGGGUCAGGAGCAGUGGGACCACCUCGUGCUCUCUCUGUGCUCAUACCUUCUCAUGGUGUCGAUCUCUCCUUGCCUCCCAGACAGAGCAACGCGUGCUUGCCACCUUGAUGGUGCAAAUGUCACUCGAUCUGAAUUUGAGGAACUGUCAUGCUCUUCCCUAA
rnacentral:lncRNA from 1 species